rnacentral:lncRNA from 1 species
UUACCUCUCUACGCUUCCCCAUCUCAGAGAAAAUUUCAAGUCCUGAUAGUGGCUUAAAUGACCCCACAGGCAGUCUGAUUUCUCCCUCUUCCUGCCCCACCCCCACUGUCUGCAUUCACCCACUCAACCCUUUUUGUUCUAAUACUUCAGCCUCCUUGCUAAUAAUGUCAUCCAGCCAAGCUCCAGCAUCAGGCAUUUCAUAUUUGCUAGAACUUGCCUCUCUUCCCAGUUCUGCAUUCACCAGUUCACCUGACUCAAGUCUCUGUUCCACUGCCACCUUCACAGUGAGUUCUCAGUGAGACAUUUUAAAUGUUGUAUUAUUUUUUAAAUUGAAGUAUAGUUGGUUUACAAUGUUUCAGGUGCACAGCAGAAUGAUUCAGGUGUGUGUGUGUGUGUGUGUGUGUGUGUGUUUAUGUGUCUCCUAGGCAGUUCACCACCCCACUCACCUGGAAACUCACUUACCUACAUGAGGUUCUGUGUCUCUCCUUCUCUCCAAGUGCCUCUUUUGAAAUAAUUAAUCUAUCAAAUUAUAUGUCCAUGUAAACACACAUAUAUACACAUUUUUAAAUCAUAAAGAAGCCUCAUUUUAUUUGGGGUUAACAGCAACAUGUCCAAGUAGUCUUAUCAGAAUAAAGAACUAUUACUGAAUUGGCAUUAGACAUAAUACACUGGGACUCAGUAGGGAAUGUUCAGUGUUCAUCUAAACACCUAACUUAAAGCCUGGGAGUAGCAGAUGGAAAAGUUUCACAAUCAACAACUUAAAAAGGCAACACAGGAGUUUGCAUCGUGGCUCAGUGGUUAACGAACCGACUAGUAUCCAUGAGGAUGCAGGUUCGAUCCCUGGCCUCACUCAUUGGGGUAAGGAUCUGGCGUUGCCAUGAGCUGUGGUAUAUAGGUUGCAGAGGUGGCUCGGAUCCUGUGUUGCUCUGGUUGUGGCACAGGGCAGCAGCUGUAGCUUUUGACCCCUAGCCUGGGAACCUCCAUAUGCUCGGGGUGCAUCCCUAAAAAGCUAUGCUUUGCUGGUGGAAUUUGUAAAUUACAUAGAGGUGAUUACCCUGCCCAAGGCUGUUUCCCCUUCUGGUGUUUAGUACAAUAGAAUAUCCUCCAGUAUUUUUAAAACAUCGUUAAACUUGUUUUACUACUGACUGAGAUUUUAAGCAAGGUGGUCAGAGAGGAUCUCCUGACCUUAGACCUAAUUGUAUUUACGUUUAUGUUCAGAUUUAAGCUCAGCAGAUCGACUGUAUUAAACAGUUCCAAGUUCACUGUUAAUUGCAGUGAAGAAGGAACAUUGCUUUCAGGAAGCUGGAACCCUCAAGGAGCAGUGCAGCUUACAAAGGACUGUGGGGUAACAUACGUAGUUAUAACAGGCCAAUGAGAAGUUCAUCCUGUCCAGGGGAACAGUGAUAUAUACCUUUGGGAAGUCAUCAAGCAAGAGCAAGCAAUAUGCAUGAUUUAAGAAGAUCUUAAAAGAAAAGCUGUUUUCUCUGGUUUAGAUAAAUGAACAGAUGUGGCUGGUCUGAUGUGUUUUGACAAAGUGCUCCAAAGACGUGGUGCUUAAAAGGCUGAAAAGCUACCGCUCCGGCAAUUUCCAUCUUCUAAGAGCCAUGCUGCUGAUUUCACAGGUCUCAUGCAGGAUAUGAAAGCAGUUUAUGAAAGUGCAAAGGGACAUGAGCAAUUGCAGAGCCACGAGUAAAAAUGUGGGAUUUUACAUGCAAUCAGCCAUGUUAUAAAAACUGCUUUGGUAAAAUAGACAUCAAAUUCUAGCUCUCCCAAGCAUGGCAAAGGCAGUGGGCUCACAAUAGGAUGGAUACAAAUUGAUUAAAUAGGGUGGGAUAAAUUUAAGAGAAAUUGCAAUCUUCUGUGAAAUAGGAGGGAAAAAAUGUGUGCAUACACAUUCACAUACCUAUCCAUCCAGGUACAAAAGCAAAAGUCUAGUACAGGUUAACUUUUUUUUUUUUUUUUUUACCAACGUUAUAUUUUAAGUAAGUUAAUUUAAGAUGAAACUUUUACCCAGGAGUUCCCAUCAUGCCACAGGGGAAACAAAUCUGAAUAGGAACCAUGAGGUUGUGGGUUUGAUCCCUGGCCUCGCUCAGUGGGUUAAGGAUCCAGCAUUGCCGUGAGCUGUGGUGUAGGUAGCAGACACGGCUCGGAUCUGGAGUUGCUGUGGCUCUGGCCUAGGCCGACAGCUACAGCUCUGAUUGGACCCCUAGCCUAGGAACCUCCAUAUUCCACGGGUGCAGCCCUAAAAAGCAACCAAAAAAAAAAAAAGAAAGAAACUCCCCCAAAGCUAGAUGAUUUAAGGUAUCCUUCACAGUCUCAUAGUUAGACAUCAGUCACAUUUAUUUGCUUGAUCCUAAAUCCCUAAAAAAUAGAUAACACAAGAGGAUAAGAGUUAUUUGGCAGUGGUUCACCAUUUAUAACUGUUUUUUUAGCCUUCACUCAUCUUUUCCAAGGAAAUGUAAAAAGCAUUACCCAAAGAAAAGAAAUUCUUCAUAUUCCAUUAUAACCACAGAAAGAUAAACACGUAAAUGGUGGUUUUGUGAUCAUAUCAAUGUACUAAAUCAUAAACAUUUUUCCUUGGAUUGAAUCUACCUUCCUAACAGGUGUAAGUCUGCUUGGUCUAAGAUUACCCUCAUAUCACUGUUAAAAAUCAAAAACAAAAAUAACUUGCUUUUCGGGAGUUCCUGCUGUGGCACAUUGGAAAUGAAUCCAUCUAGGAACCAUGAGGUUUCGGGUUUGAUCCCUGUCCCUGCUCAAUGGGUUAAGGAUCCGGCGUUGCCAUGAGCUGUGGUAUAGGCCGGCAGCUACAGCUCUGAUCGGACCCCUAGCCUGGGAACCUCCAUAUGCCACAGUUGCAGCCCUAAAAAAAAAAGCCCCCCAAAAUAAAUAACUUGCUCUUCAAAGAACAUGUCUUGUUAGAGUUGAGAUUUAGUUGUCAUAGACACUGAGUUACAAAUCAUGAUCUGCUACAAAAACAGUGAGAUGUAAAUGCUCCCCCUGGAAAACCAUAGGACUGAAUCCACAAAUAAUCAUUGAACACUGUCUCAUUCUUCCCAACAUUCGAAUUAUUCUAGUCAAGGAAAACAUAGCAAAAGGCCAAUUAUUUCCUUAGUCAAAGAUUCUUAAAUGUGAAUCCACAGAUUUUCUAUGUUAAAAUGAGACCCUUUUAUAAAAGGGGGAUGUUUCAUUUCAGGUCAUUCAAAGUUAUCUAAAGCUCUUUCUAUUCCGUUCAGUGUUCUAAUUUAGUUGGAAGGAAAAGACAAACAAAUCUCUCUAAUGACACAACUGUCACAUCAAUAUUAUAAAAUUCUUUGAUUAUUUUUUAUUAUAAAGGGUAUCAAAAUUUGACCUUUAUAUAGCCCUCUACAUUUUUAAGUGUUUGAAGCUGUUGUCUAAUUUAAUUCUAACAAUGAUCAUGGGAGUUCAGUCUAAAUCCCUUGCUCUACUCAGAAAUAAUGGCCUCUGGUCAUGCCCCCAUAUUGGAUAGGAAAUGGAUGUUAUUAUUUAUGGAAAAAUAAUCUUAUUGGAAGCUGUUAACAGUUAAGGUGGUUGGUGUGUGAGUGUGUGGAGGUGUAAAUAUGUGAAGGUGGUACAGAGUCAGUUGGGGUUAUGUUUGGUUUUGCCUCCAUAUGGCAGUAGGACCGCUAGAAAUUUCCCUGUACACCACCUGGGCCCUCCAUUGCCUCACAUGAAUAACUUUACUUGAUUUGCAUUAUUAUUGAGAAGUUUUAGUGAAAUUGUGCAUGGAACUCACAUAGCAUGUUGUCUGGCACCUAGUAAAUAGUCUAGGUAUUAAUUUUAUGGGUAAUUAUAGCUGAGCACAGAAUAGUCAAGUGGGAAUUUAAAGGCAUUCUGAUAUUCUGAAAAGUCAUUAAUAAUGUAAAACUAUUGAUAGAGUUAUAAGUCCUUAAGUGGAGAAUCCAAGUUAAUUACUUUCCCAAAUUCUCUGAUUUGAGUCCAUCCAAGUUUAGCAACAUGAAGUUACCUAUUUCUUUCCUUUGUAUGGAUAUAGGACAUAAGAUGCCCAAAGCAACCCUGCAUUUAAAUAUAGAAAGUAGGAAACUGUAAAAGUAUAAUUGCUUCAGCCUCUGCCCUUCAAUAUCUGUUGACACUGCAAUAUAUUACAAUAGUCAGGUUUUCAGUUUACCUUGGUAGCUUGGGAAAUCUUAACACAUCAAAGUUGUGUUCAUCAAAGUUGGGACAUUCCUUCUGUCCUGAUUAAAAGUCACUUUUUAUAAGUGUGUCUUCCUUAAAUUCCUUGAGAGCAAGAGUCUAGCCAAGUCUUUUGCACACUCAAAUUGGCACUAAUAAAUGCUCUUGGACCCAAACUGAUUCAAAAGGGUGUACUGGAAAUUUCUAUACCAUUGAGUUCCCACAGGCUGGCUAUGCAAAAUACAUCUUAUGAACCAUAUUGUCUUGUUUGCAGUCGUUGCUGUGAGCUGCGGUGUAGGUCAAAGACAUGGCUUGGAUCUGGCAUUGCUGUGGCUGUGGUGCAAACCUGUAGCUGCAGCUCUGAUUCAACUUCCAUGUGCUGGGAACUUCCAUGUGCUAUAGGUAUGGCCCUAAAAGC